UACGGAGGGUGCAAGCAUUGAUCGGAAUUACUGGGCGUAAAGGGCGCGUAGGCGGCCAGACAAGUCGGAUGUGAAAUUCCGGGGCUCAACCCCGGAGCUGCAUUUGAAACUAUUUGGCUAGUGGCUAGUAAGGGAAAACAGAAUUCCACGUGUAGCGGUGAAAUGCGUAGAUAUGUGGAAGAACACCGAUGGCGAAGGCAAUCCCCUGGGCCUGCACUGACGCUCAUGCACGAAAGCGUGGGGAGCAAACAGG
rnacentral:rRNA from 1 species